rnacentral:rRNA from 1 species
GUGAAUUCAGAAUUCAGCGAAUCAUCGAAUCUUUGAACGCACAUUGCGCCCUCUGGUAUUCCGGGGGGCAUGCCUGUCCGAGCGUC